GUUCCUGUCCAACGUUAAUCGGGGCAGGGUGAGUCGACCCCUAAGGCGAGGCCGAAAGGCGUAGUCGAUGGGAAACAGGUUAAUAUUCCUGUACUUGGUGUUACUGCGAAGGGGGGACGGAGAAGGCUAUGUUGGCCGGGCGACGGUUGUCCCGGUUUAAGCGUGUAGGCUGGUUUUCCAGGCAAAUCCGGAAAAUCAAGGCUGAGGCGUGAUGACGAGGCACUACGGUGCUGAAGCAACAAAUGCCCUGCUUCCAGGAAAAGCCUCUAAGCAUCAGGUAACAUCAAAUCGUACCCCAAACCGACACAGGUGGUCAGGUAGAGAAUACCAAGGCGCUUGAGAGAACUCGGGUGAAGGAACUAGGCAAAAUGGUGCCGUAACUUCGGGAGAAGG
rnacentral:rRNA from 1 species